rnacentral:rRNA from 1 species
UACGUAGGCAGCGAGCGUUGUUCGGAGUUACUGGGCGUAAAGGGUGUGUAGGCGGUUUCUAAGUUUGGUGUGAAAUCUCCCGGCUCAACCGGGAGGGUGCCGCCGAAAACUGGGAGACUAGAGUGCGGGAUGGGAGAGUAGAAUUCCUGGUGGUAGCGGUGAAUGCGUAGAUAUACAGGAGGAAUACCGGUGGUGUAGACGGCUCGCUCGUGGACCGCCACUGACGCUGAGACACGAAAGCGUGGGUAGCAAACAGG